UGGGGAAUUUUGGACAAUGGGCGAAAGCCUGAUCCAGCAAUGCCGCGUGUGUGAAGAAGGCCUUCGGGUUGUAAAGCACUUUUGUCCGGAAAGAAAUCCUUGGCUCUAAUACAGUCGGGGGAUGACGGUACCGGAAGAAUAAGCACCGGCUAACUACGUGCCAGCAGCCGCGGUAAUACGUAGGGUGCAAGCGUUAAUCGGAAUUACUGGGCGUAAAGCGUGCGCAGGCGGUUUGCUAAGACCGAUGUGAAAUCCCCGGGCUCAACCUGGGAACUGCAUUGGUGACUGGCAGGCUAGAGUAUGGCAGAGGGGGGUAGAAUUCCACGUGUAGCAGUGAAAUGCGUAGAGAUGUGGAGGAAUACCGAUGGCGAAGGCAGCCCCCUGGGCCAAUACUGACGCUCAUGCACGAAAGCGUGGGGAGCAAACAGGAUUAGAUACCCUGGUAGUCCACGCCCUAAACGAUGUCAACUAGUUGUUGGGGGAUUCAUUUCCUUAGUAACGUAGCUAACGCGUGAAGUUGACCGCCUGGGGAGUACGGUCGCAAGAUUAAAACUUAAAUGAAUUGACGGGGUCAUAGCUG
rnacentral:rRNA from 1 species